GCGCCUAUAGCUCAGCGGAUAGAGCACUGGCCUCCGGAGCCAGGAGCGCAGGUUCGAGUCCUGCUAGGCGCACCA
rnacentral:tRNA from 2 species